rnacentral:rRNA from 1 species
GACAGAGGUGCCGAGCGUUAGGCGGAAUCACUGGGCUUAAAGCGCGUGUAGGCGGGCCGUUAAGUGCCUUGUGAAAUCCCCCGGCUCAACCGGGGAACGGCUGGGCAUACUGGCGACCUUGGGCCACCCAGGGGUCACCGGAACAGGCGGUGGAGCGGUGAAAUGCGUAGAUAUCGCCUGGAACGCCGACGGUGAAAACAGGUGACUGGGGGUGCGCCGACGCUGAGACGCGAAAGCCAGGGGAGCGAACGGG